rfam:Vibrio harveyi ATCC BAA-1116 chromosome II, complete sequence.
GGUGUUUGAAGAAGCAGUUUGCUGCGUUCUUGGAUAUCACCACCAAUGUGGUACGGCAAGCCACAGUUUGCAAAUGAUACAAAUGGACCGCGUUCAAACAUGAUGAUUUCUGCGUCUUCACUAAGACGACGAGCGCGAGCUGCUGCAGAUGCACCGCCAGCAACACCAC